GACGUAGGGCGCGAGCGUUGUCCGGAUUUAUUGGGCGUAAAGAGCUCGUAGGCGGCUUGUCGCGUCGACUGUGAAAUCCCGCGGCUCAACUGCGGGUCUGCAGUCGAUACGGGCGAGGCUAGAGUUCGGUAGGGGAGACUGGAAUUCCUGGUGUGAGCGGUGAAAUGCGCAGAUAUCUGGAGGAACACCGGUGGCGAAGGCGGCAUACUGGUCCACUUCUGACGCUGAGGCGCGAAAGCCAGGGGAGCAAACAGG
rnacentral:rRNA from 1 species